rnacentral:rRNA from 1 species
UACGUAGGGUGCGAGCGUUGUCCGGAAUUAUUGGGCGUAAAGAGCGUGUAGGCGGUUUGUCGAGUCUGCUGUGAAAUCUCACGGCUCAACCUUGAGCUUGCAGUGGGUACGGGCAGACUAGAGUGUGGUAGGGGAGACUGGAAUUCCUGGUGUAGCGGUGAAAUGCGCAGAUAUCAGGAGGAACACCGAUGGCGAAGGCAGGUCUCUGGGCCACUACUGACGCUGAGAAGCGAAAGCAUGGGGAGCGAACAGG